CUGCUGAGGAACUCUCCUGAGUGUCCCCACCAUGGCUUGGAUGCUGCUGCUCCUUGGGUUCCUGGCCCUCAGCUCAGGAGUGGAUUCUCAGACUGUGGUCCAGGAGCCAUCAUCAGUGUCUGUGGCUCUCGGAGGGACAGUCACAAUGACGUGUAGCCUGAGCUCUGGUUUAGCGACUAAAGGGCGCAACCCAGGCUGGUUCCAGCAGACCCCAGGCCAGGUUCCCCACCAGAUCAUCUAUAGCACAAACAGCCGCCCCUCUGGGGUCCCUGGUCGCUUCUCUGGCUCCGUCUCUGAGGACAAU